GCCAAAGGUCACCAUGCUGAUGAGGCUCAUUGUCAUGACCUCUCUCGGGACCAGAAGGUGACAUCUGAGAAGUUCUACAGACAGUCUCUGAAUCAGCAUGGGGGUUUGCUGUAGCACCUACAGUUCCCUCCGGAUCCUGCUGCUUCUUCUGCUCCAGUACCACAAGGAGGGAGACUCGAGGUGUGAGCUGAGAACGGUGCCUGCCCAGGUCUCCGUUCCAGGUCUUUCCAAUCCUCUUGCCAAAGAGAGGGAAAGCAAACAGGCAAAUGAAAAAAUGAAAGAUGAAACAAAGAUGAAACAAAAUGGAUGAACUAACAACACCCCCCAAAAAAAGAAAAAAGAGAAACACACACAUUCACAAGCACAUGUAACCACCGCAAAAAAACUCAGUUUGAAAAGCAUAGCAUACAAGCAAAAGACAAGUAAGGCAAGAAUAAAUAAACAAACAAAUAAAUAAAUAUAAAAAUAAAAAGCCUAAAGCCCAAACAAAAACUC